GAUGAACGCUGGCGGCGUGCCUAAUACAUGCAAGUCGAGCGAACAGAUAAGGCGCUUGCUCCUUUGACGUUUGCGGCGGAGGGGUGAGUCACACGUGGGUAACCUACCUAUAAGACUGGGAUCACUUCGGAACACCGGAGCUAAUACCGUAUAACCUUUGGAACCGCAUGGUUCUAAAGAGAAAGUUGGCUUUGCUGUCACUUAUAGAUGGACACGAGCCGUAUGAGCUAGUUGGUAAGGUAACGGCUUACCAAGGCGAGGAGUCGUAGACGACCGGAGAGGGUGGUCGGCGACAUUGGAACGGAGCCACCGUCCAGAGGCCUAAGAGAGGCAGCAGUAUGGAAUCGGAGGCAACGGGCGAAAAUCUGACGGAACAACGCCGAGUGAGAGAUGAAGGCGUUCGGCGCGUAAUACCGGGUUAUGAGUGAAGAACAGAUUUGGAAGGAACUGAGCACGUAGUGACGGUAACGAAUAAGAAAGCCACGGCUAACUACGUG
rnacentral:rRNA from 1 species